CAUAGUGGGUGAUAGCCCCGUACGCGAAAGGAUCUUUGAAGUGAAAUCGAGUAGGACGGAGCACGAGAAACUUUGUCUGAACAUGGGGGGACCAUCCUCCAAGGCUAAAUACUACUGACUGACCGAUAGUGAACCAGUACCGUGAGGGAAAGGCGAAAAGAACCCCGGAGAGGGGAGUGAAAUAGAACCUGAAACCGUAUGCGUACAAGCAGUGGGAGCCUACUUGUUAGGUGACUGCGUACCUUUUGUAUAAUGGGUCAGCGACUUAUAUUCAGUGGCAAGCUUAACCGUAUAGGGUAGGCGUAGCGAAAGCGAGUCUUAAUAGGGCGUUUAGUCGCUGGGUAUAGACCCGAAACCGGGCGAUCUAUCCAUGAGCAGGUUGAAGGUUAGGUAACACUGACUGGAGGACCGAACCCACUCCCGUUGAAAAGGUAGGGGAUGACUUGUGGAUCGGAGUGAAAGGCUAAUCAAGCUCGGAGAUAGCUGGUUCUCCUCGAAAGCUAUUUAGGUAGCGCCUCAUGUAUCACUCUGGGGGGUAGAGCACUGUUUCGGCUAGGGGGUCAUCCCGACUUACCAAACCGAUGCAAACUCCGAAUACCCAGAAGUGCCGAGCAUGGGAGACACACGGCGGGUGCUAACGUCCGUCGUGAAAAGGGAAACAACCCAGACCGCCAGCUAAGGUCCCAAAGUUGUGGUUAAGUGGUAAACGAUGUGGGAAGGCUUAGACAGCUAGGAGGUUGGCUUAGAAGCAGCCAUCCUUUAAAGAAAGCGUAAUAGCUCACUAGUCGAGUCGGCCUGCGCGGAAGAUGUAACGGGGCUCAAACCACAC
rnacentral:rRNA from 1 species